rnacentral:rRNA from 1 species
CCGUGAGAGCGGGAGCCCGGAGAUGGGCACUGAGACAAGGGCCCAGGCCCUACGGGGCGCAGCAGUCGCGAAAACUUUGCAAUACACGAAAGUGUGACAAGGCUAUCCCGAGUGCCAUCCGCUGAGGAAGGCUUUUACCCAGUAUAAAUAGCUGGGAGAAUAAGGAGAGGGCAAGUCUGGUGUCAGCCGCCGCGGUAAUACCAGCUCUCCGAGUAGUGUGGAUGUUUAUUGGGCCUAAAGCAUCCGUAGCUUGCUAGGCAAGUCCCCUGUUAAAUCCACCGAUUCAAUCGAUGGUUUGCGGGGGAUACUGUUUGGCUAGGGGACGGGAGAGGUCGACGGUAUUUCCGGGGUAGGGGUGAAAUCCUAUAAUCCCGGGAGGACCACCAGUGGCGAAGGCUGUCGACUAGAACGCGCCCGACGGUGAAGGGCGAA